CUUCGUUUUCUUCUUUCUCUCGACAAUAUCGAAACGAGAGAAACACAAAAUCACGACAAUAGCUCUCGCAUCGUCGUCUUCUUCUUCCAAUCGAUUCGAUCUCGCCUCGUCGUCGUUUUCUAAACCGAUCUCGCCUCGUCGUCUUCUAAAUCGAUUCGAUGCAAGUCUUCGAUUGGGUUUGUGAUUUGGUUUCUCGAUCGGGUUGUAUCGUUUGUGUUUGGGACGAACCAUCAAACAAAAUCGAGCGGCGCCAUGGUAGUCUCUAGAAGAACUCUCUUCUUCAGUUUAGAUGGGAAGCCCUAACGACAAAGCCGUCGCCGAGACGGAUCUUACAACUGAUUCCAUCGGAGAGACACGAAAGGACGAUUGCGGCGGAGAAGAUUUGCCUCUUCUUAUUCUUCCUCCUCCUCCUGGUCAAUUCGAAGAAGGAGAGAGAGUCUUCACAGGUGGCGAAGCUGAGAUUUUUGGCUAUGAGCUUCCACAUGAAGUUUGACUCACAUUUCCUCCUCGCAUGAUAUAUGCGGUUUUUACAUGGUAUGGUGCAACAAUAGAAACCGAUGGCAUCACAGAAAAUGAAUAUACAUCAUGUGAGACACCGAUGAUGAGCUAUCUUAGAGUGCACAACUCUCUACAAGUAGAAAGACAUCGUUCUACUUCCUCAACAAGAGAUUUUCUACCUUCACAGGUACUUUUUCCUUAACAUAGUCAUGAUCUCUGGUAUGUAUAUUCUUUUUUUUAAGUAGUAACGUGUUCAAUUGAUUUAAGUUUGAAAGACUUUCUUGAUUUAACCAUUUAGUGUCUAUCUUUGAAUUUGUUGUAUUGAUUAUCUAACAUUAUUGCCGUUUAUGAAUCUAGAUUUCUAUGGGUGUUUGAGGUAUGAAUAACUUAUGAUACUAUUGAUUUUUUACAUUACAAUGUUUGUCUCUGUGAUAAUAAUAGUUUCUCCCUAUUAUCUUUUGUUGCAGAACAUAGUUUACUUGUUUUUUGAGUAUGCUUGCUAGAGGUGAGCUUUGCAAGUACUUCAGCGAUCACUGCUUCUCAAAGAAGGUUUACGUUCCAAUCAUACCCGUGAACCUUGUGAUCUCACGUCGGCACAAGAGAACAAAAGUCUCUGGUAUGUCGUUCUGCUCUUGCCGUGAACCUUCAACAUCUCGUCGGCACAAGAGAACAAAAGUCUCUGGUCUUGGUUCUGAUCUUCCCGUGACUUUCUCCUUGUGAUCUCAAGUCGGCACAACGCACGUGAACAACAAGAGAACAACGCCCGUGAACUUUUUUGUGUUUUUCUUUCCCCACUUGAUGUUCAGUAAACUUGUAUAUAUAGCAAACGAGAAUCAUAUUCAGUCUCUUGUAACUCUCUUAAACGAUAAUCGGCUACUUCCCAACUCUCUUGUAAACUCAUAUUCAGUCUGCUUUAUUCACUCUUCCCAACUAUCUUGUAAACUCAUAUUCAGUUUUAAAUAUUUUCUCCAUCCCAACUCUCUCUUAAAAAAUCUCUCAUUUCUUAUUAUCAUGUCUUCACCAGAUUUAGAUGAUGAGUAUGAUGAAUUUUUUGAUGAACAUUUUGGCAAUCUAUUCUAAGAUUGCCUAAAUGAUUAUGGCAAUGAUCAACAACCAACUACUUCAAGGCGGCCUAGAGCUUAUAUUGAUAGACAACACGAAGAAGGGCAUAUUCAAUUAUGGAAUGAUUAUUUUAGCGAAAAUGCUACGUUCUCUACUAGUAGUUUCCGUCGUCGUUUUCGAAUGAACAAAUCAUUGUUCAUUCGUAUUGUUGAUGCUACGGGAAGGUUGGGUCUGUCUGGAUUACAAAAGUGUACUGCAGCCAUUCGUAUUUUGGCAUAUGGGUGUGCAUCUGAUGCGGUUGACGAAUAACUCCGCCUCGCAGAUAGCACCGCAAUGCAAUGCUUGGAAAAUUUUGUGGAGGGAAUUAUAUAUUUGUUUCAAGAUAUGUACCUAAGAAGACCUACAUCAGAGGAUCUCCAACGAUUACUCAAUUUAGGAGAGGACCGCGGAUUUCCCAGGAUGAUCGGAAGCAUUGAUUGUAUGCAUUGGGAAUGGAAGAAUUGUCCAACAGCUUGGAAAGGACAGUAUUCUCGUGGAUCUAGAAAACCUACAAUCGUUUUAGAGGCUGUGGCAUCGCAAGAUCUCUGGAUUUGGCAUGCAUUUUUUGGUCCUCCAGGUACUUUAAAUGAUAUCAAUGUUCUUGACCGUUCACCAGUUUUUGAUGACAUCUUAGAAGGUCGAGCUCCGAGAGUAGAUUACUUUGUCAAGGGACGACAUUACAAUAUGGCUUACUACCUCACUGAUGGUAUAUAUCCGAGAUGGGCAACAUUCAUCCAAUCAAUU